UUAAUAUUUUCUAAGUGGUCUAACCAUUUCAAAACUAUUUCUUUAUUGGGUGGUUGAGCACUUUUACCAUCUUAGUAAAGACCUAUUUUCCCUAUUCCUCAAGGUAUUAUGAGUAAUAACUAGUGUUGUCAAAAUAGGUCACUCGUCUCAACCUGACCUAACCCACCAUGGGUUGACCACUUAGUGAGCCAACCUAACUCGACUCACUUAUUAGCAAGCCGAAAAAAUUCGAACCCGACGCGGUUCACCACAGGUUGGUGGGUUAAACGGGUUGACGGCUCACUUAUUUACAAGUUUUUUUUUUCAAUUCCAAAAAAACUAACAAUUUUUUUUAAUUCAAAUCUAAAUAAAUUUCAAUCUAAAAUAAUGUUAAAUUUCAAAGACAAUUUAAAAUAAAAAAAUAUAAUACAAUUCAAAAUCAUCUUAAACUCCAAAUAUAAUCCAAAAGUAACCAUAAAAAAAAAUUAGGUGUGUUGGCAAGCCAAUCCGGGUGAGCCGAAUUCUUAGUGGGUUGGGCUCAAAGUUGACCUGUAUCAAAAUUUUAAUUUUUUUUUCAUUUCAACUCGACUAAAACACGGGGUGAAUCGGGUUAGCUCAUGAAUUUCAACCCAUUCUGACAACACUAGUAAGAACUCAAGUGCCUCUGCACCAAGUAUUAUACUUCACUUCAAGUAGGAUGCAUAAAGGCACUGUCCAGCAAGCUGCUUUGGAACCCCACGUGAGUCACAUUCCAGCAAGCUGCUUUGGAACCCCAGUUGAUGAGGGCUUGCGCCCAGCGUCAACAGAUACACCAGCUGCUGCUCAUCUUCACCUGCUAGCUUAUUGUCCAUGUGGCUCUUCACGUUUCUUCACCCUUGCACAGCUGACAUUGCUUGAUGCUUGAAGUUGACGUUAGCCAAGUGAAGGCGUGAACCAGGAGCUUUGUUUUCCCUUUAAAAAGCUUGCUCCAUUGCUUGUAACGUUACCUUUAAUUUGAAUGAAGAAUUGGUUUCUGUUGAUUAUGUCCAGAACAUUCUUCUUGUUGAAGGUUUCCGAGAGAGAGCUUGAGAGUUUCCUCUAGCCUCUCUCCCUAGCUAGGCUUCUAUUCCUAGCAUUCCUCUACACCAUCCGCAUCAUAUUUCAGCACCUAAACCUCUGCCUUCAUUCCAUUUUCUCCAUCACCGCUUCAUCAGUUUCUCAUCACCGAACCACUGUUCGAUUCAAUCUUCCUCUGUCUCAACCUUAUCUUCAUCACCGAAUCAUCCAUUCUUCCUCUGGUCAUCAUCAUCGUAAUUCAUCUUCUUCCGCUGCAACAAAAUGAUGCUCAUCCUCCUUUCCAGUUCAGAUUCCAGAAGUUCCUAGAAGAAGUUCCGUUGAUUCCAUCUUCCACCAGAAUCAGCUGGAUCCUUCUUCCAUCAAGUGGUAAUCAAAGCUUAGGUUCUGGUUCUGAGUUUUCCAGCAUGCAUGUUUUCACUUGGAAGGUGUCUUAUAGCUUGGGCAGCAGGUUUUCAAAGUAGAGAAUUAAUUCAAUCACAGAUUAAGAACCUGAUUUCCACGUGACUUUAGAGUUUGAAUAAGCAAAAAUCAUAGAGGAAAACCCUGCAGCAGAGUGCAUUUGCUCGUGAUUUAAAAACAACCUGUGCAGAACGGUUUUGGAGAGUUGAACUGUUUUGGAGAGCUUUGUGAAGACCAUUAAAAUAGCCAACACUGUUCCUGAAGCUUGAAACCUCUUUGAGCAAGGAUUAAAGGGCCAAACCAACCAAGAGAGCAACAGAACCAAUUUUCAAAAGCAAUCCAUACAUGGAGCAGCAGAGUGAGUAGUGUAGAUUGAUCCUCUUGUAGUUUUGAGAUUGUAAUCUGUUUUAGAUUUAAUUUUCUUUUGUUUUUCUUGUAAAAGGCCAUUUAAGACCAAGUGUUUGGAAGAGUCCUUUGUGCUCUCUCCACUCUUAGCAAUUUUCUUUGCUUUGAUAGUAGACCGUGAGCGUGUCUUAUUAACCAAA